CUAGAAAAUUCCAAUUUAGCAACGACCAUUAGCGACAGAUAAUAGAUCCGUCUCUACUAUGUAUGUUUAGCAACAUAAUUAGCGAUGGAACAAAUAAUCGUAGCUUUAAAUGUAAACCAUCGGCGAUAGUGACGUCAAUUAGCGAUAGAUGAAAACUCCGUGACUAAUUUAAACAUUCAGCUACAGAUUUUGCAACGGACAAGAGAUCUGUUGCUAAUAGAAAUAUUUAGCGUUCCAACCCCAUUGAUAAUUAUUAUGAUUUAUUUAAGUAAUGAAUUUUAUUAUUUUUUGGUUUUCAAUUUACAAUUUGCUGAAAUUGGUUUUUUUCCCCACUUUCUCACUUUCCUUACUUCCCUUCACCCCCUCCCCUGCGCCAUCGUUCCUUUCAUCGAAACUUGACCACCCAUCCUCCUGCCUUCAUUCUCUGUCUAUUGUCGUCUCCGGCCAUUGGGAAAAGUAAAAAAUGCAAAGGUCCCAAAAAUUCCCCAUCUUUGCUAGUUUUUCAAUCCCCCACUAGUCACCGUUGCGGCGACGCCACUCAUGUCGUCUUCAACUAGAUCUGCCCGUUCACAUAAGAAAUUGGCACUACAACGGAAUCAGGUAAAAUCGUUGUUAUUUCAUUAUUUAUGAAUUGGUCUGUGUGUGUUGUUUAAUAUUUUAUUUGAUAAAAACCCUAAUAUUGGAAUGGGUAUUUUGGUGUUGUUAACAGUCCCGCAUUUUCAUUCACAUUAUGAUAAAAUAUUAUAUUUUAUUGUUAUUUUUAUGUUUUAGGAUUGUUUAUGUCCUAUUGGUGAUAAUGAUUUUGAAGUUUUGGAGAAUGAAUAUUCAUAUCGAGACAAUAAAGUAUGAGACUUGGCUUUCAAUUUUAGUUUUGGAUUGCAUUUCAGAUUAAAUAAUAUGUCCUAAUUUCAGUUUUGGGUUGGUUUGGAGAAUGAAUAUUAUGUUCUACUUCUAGUUUUGGAUAGAGAGUGACUAUGUUCAAGGUAAGGACUAUGUUCUUGUUAAUUUGUUCAUUCCUAUACUGCAAAUAUGCCGCAAAAUAUUGUGACCUUAAACCCGUAGCAUGUUAUAAUUCACCCUUAUAUUUCAUAUUUCAGUCUACAACUUUAUUUUAUCAUGUGUUUCAGCAGUAGCAAACACAUUUGUUAGUUGGUUGCAUAUAUUAUUUUUUCACUACUGACCGAAUUACCUACUUUUAGAAUUCAAGAGCUCAGGUAACUUACAUAUGCCAAAUGUAUGGGACACUUAGAAGAUGCAAGUCUUUGUGGCUGAAGUAGAAAGCUACUCGGGUAAAUUAUUUCUAACAUAUAUCUAGUCAUAAUAUUAAUUAUAUGCUCAUCUCAAAUAAAAUCGAUAAAACUGUAUUGAAUACUAUAAUUUUUAUAUGUAUUAUAUCAGUUUAUUCUUGGUACAUAGAAAUUAGUAAUCACUAGUUCAUUUUUCGUAAUGAUGUCUUUAGUAUUCUGCAAAAUUAUUGAAGAAGGUGGAUGACCAAUAUAGAGAACUGAUGCAGGUUCACAUUUCUGAAUGGAUGAAUACAAUAGUAUAAGAGAUGUAAAGAGGUGCAUUAAAAUAAUUAUUUCAAUUGUAUAACAAUAUCAGAUUUGUAAAAUAUCAGGCAUUUACAUCUUUAAUUUAUCAUGUGGUAUUUUUUCUUGAUUAAUUAUUAUCUUUGCUUUCUCACUAUUUUUGAGAAAAAAUGCCUAGGCAGUGGCAAUAGCAUGCAUCCUUUGCAGUUGUUUAUGUAAAUUGUUAUUGUUGAUUGUUAAUGUAAUUUUACUUAACAUUCUAUGUGUUGUGUACAAGACUUGGAUUGCUUGUCUGAUGUUGUCUUAUGCUGCUGAUGAUCGACGAAAUGGUUGGACUAUCAUAUUUUGAUGGAUCAACUAAAUUGCAACUUCCAUCCUGGCUAUAAAUAAGACACAAGUUGAUGGUGAGGAAACGAAGAUGCAAGAAUUGUAGAGGAAAAGAAAGGUGGUGUUAAUGGCCAUAGAGACUACAUUGUUCUUAUAGGUUAAAAUUCAAAUUCCUAUUUUGACAGCUUGAUUCUUUUCGAUCUAGAAUCUUCAAUGAAAAUUCAAGAUAUUGUUUGUUGAAUUUGUGUAUGUGCAAAUAUUUAUAUUAGUUUUAUUGGUGUUUAUAUAAAUGAAAUUAAUGUAUUUAAAUAUAUAUUUUUUUUGUUAAAUUAAUAGAUUUUUGUAACGGAUUUAGUGAAGGAUGUAUCCCUCUCCAAUUAAGAUUUUAGCUUUAAUUAGUGACGGAUGAAUAAAUUUAGCGACGAAAUAUCUCGUGUUUUUUGGUCA